rnacentral:lncRNA from 1 species
UAAAAAAAAUUUAAAAUAUAACAAUAACAUCAUAUUAUCUAUAUUUUAAUUAAUUAAAUUUAUAUCGAAAGUUUCAACAUUCUUUUCGAAAAUUUAAAUGCUCAUCGAUACGGGUUGUAUUCACCAUAUCGUAUUAUACCAACAAGAUAUCGAUACGAUACAGUUUCCGUGUCGAUGUCAUGAUUUAAAACUCUAUCAUUUUAAAAUUAAUCAUAAGUUUUUUAAUAAAAUUUAAAAUAUUUAAUAAAGAUACAUAAUAAGUAAUUAUAGUAUAUUGUUGCUAAAAAAAAUAAAUACUUCAUGUCAUUUUGUAUCGGCAUAUAUAUAUUUUUUGUGACCGACAUGUAUCGGUACUACUCUGUACGCACCGUACCGUAUCAACAAUUUUAUGUCACGAUCCCGUACCACAAUAUUUAAAUUUUUGAUUCUAUCAUAAUUUUAUUUUUAAAAAAAUUAUUAUAUUUUAUUUUCAAAAUAAAAAAUUUAAU